rnacentral:lncRNA from 1 species
CAACAUCAGUCUCCAGAGUGAAUCCAAGGAGAGGACCCAAGACAUUCAUGUUCUGUGAUGUGGUGACAUGUUACCUGUCAUCUCUGAUGCACAACUCCUAAAGUGUUUGCAUCUGGGGCAGUUGUACAGAUUGCAGAAGCUAAUACUCAAGAUGUUCUCCAAGGCCAACUACUCAUCAGUUUAUUCAUGUUUCUGGGAUUGGAUUCAUGAACUCAUCCUUUGAACUAUUUCAACAAGCUUUUUCAUGUAACUAAUCUGCGGAAGGUAGAAAGGGUAAAACUGUUGGGUGCUAAAAUGACAACUGGUUCAAGACCCAAGUAGGUGCUCACAGUCAGCCAGCUGUCCUGCAGGAAGAGAUUAAAGGAACUAGUUACCCAGGGAUCGUCUCCAUUCCUUCCAACUGAAAGGGAAACAAACAAGGAGGAGCACGCCUGGGGAGGUUUUCAUGGGCCAGGACUGGAAAUGCACAUUUCUCUUUUCCUCACAUUCCAAGCUCCCAAGAUGGUGGCGGGCCACUUCCAAAAUGGUGGCAGGCCACUUCCAAGAUGGUGGCAAGCCUCGCGUUCUCUGGCCUGGGGUUCUUGGCCUCACGGAUUCCAAGGAAUGGAAUCUUGGGCCAUGCAGAGGAGCAUCAGAUAAUUAGGCAGCAGUCCAACAAUUAGGUUUUGUGGAACUUUUACUAUGUCAUCUAUUUAUUGGAAUUCCCCCUGGAUACCAGGACCCCCUCCAGCAGAGCUUAAAGUUAUAGUGACAGGAAGUACAAAUUCCGUAUGUGGAUCCCUGGAAGUGUGAUGAGAGGAACCACUGUUUCCAAGAUCUAUUUAUUCUAUUUAUUAGGCCUAUAAAAUCAUGUAAUGACCAUGGCUUCAACUAGACUCUA